CAUGGUUGUCGUCAGCUCGUGUCGUGAGAUGUGGUUAGUCCGCAACGAGCGCAACCCCUAUGUUAGUUGCCAUCAUUCAGUUGGGCACUCUAGCGAGACUGCCGGUAAUAAACCGGAGGAAGGUGGGGAUGACGUCAAAUCAUCAUGCCCCUUAUGACCUGGGCUACACACGUGCUACAAUGGUUGGUACAACGAGUUGCGAGUCGGUGACGGCGAGCUAAUCUCUUAAAGCCAAUCUCAGUUCGGAUUGUAGGCUGCAACUCGCCUACAUGAAGUCGGAAUCGCUAGUAAUCGCGGAUCAGCACGCUGCGGUGAAUACGUUCCCGGGCCUU
rnacentral:rRNA from 1 species